AGCAACCAAAAUUAUGGACAGGUUCAAAUGGGAGGAUGUUGUCUUGCGGUUAUCCCAGUUCCAUGAUGUUUAGGGAUUUAUAGAUUAAAAUAAGUGCCUUAAACUGUGCAUGGAAACAAAUUAGAAAUUAAUGCAGUUGAUAUAAGAGCAGUGUUGCAUGGUGUUUGGAGCACACAGAAAGCCAUCUGGCUGUUCCAUCGUGUUCUAUUUGAAAUUUCUAUACUUUGAGGAGAGCUCUACAUGGAACAUACUGCAAUAGAGUAAAUGGAAAAAUACUUAAGGUGUAGUUUGCUUUGGCCAGAUCUCCUUUCACUAAGAAGGGGCACAGCUGGCAUGCCAGCUGAAUUUGGACAAAGGUGCCGGUAAGGUAAUCUUUGAGAAAGCAUGCAGUCUCACCCAAAAUGACCUAAACCAAUCAUAGACUUGCCAUUACAAUGACAAUAAAUAUCUGCCCUUGUCUGGA